CCGCCGCCCCGCUCGCGCCGCCGCUCGCGCUGCCGGGGUCUCUCAGCGCGGGGGCGGCGCCGGCGGCUGCUCCCGGGGGUCCCGGCGGAGGCGGCUCCGGCCGUGUCGGGCGAGGAGGAGGCGGCCGAGCUCCCCACGGCUGCGCGCCGGGCGGCGAGCGAGCGCAGGAUGGGGGGCGCGUGGCCGGCGCACACGGGAAGGUGACAAAAGGAGUUGUGUUGGUGAUUUGUUCGGGGCCCUGUGGGCGGUGGUGGAAGCGGCCAGCGCCGGCGCCUCGGUUCUCUGCCUGUGUGAGAAGGGAGAUGCCAAGGUCACGGAAGAGACAGGCAAGAUGUCCAAGAAGGAAAAAGAAAUGAAAACAGGUGAGACCCAUCCCCAAAGAGAUUGUUUCCUUUUCAUCCACUGUUGUGUUUCAGGCUCCCGUUGGGCAGCUGGUGUGAAUGGGCAAGGGCACAGAGAGCAGGGCUGUGCCUGGUGUAAGAAAUGCUUCAUUCUUCCCAGAAAGCCCAGUUUUAACCCAAAUCCUGCUGCUGAAGCGUCACUAAUGAGCUUCAGCUUCCCAGCUGGAUGCAUUCAGUCAUCCAGGGUGGGCAAGAAGACCAAGGGCAUCCUGGCCUGGAUAAGGAACAGUGUUGUCAGCAGGAGCAGGGAGCUGAUCAUUGCCCUGGACUCGCCUUUGGUGAGGCUGCACCUCCAAUGCUGGGCUCAGUUCAGGGCCCCUGUCUACAAGAAGGACAUGGAGGUGCUGGAGAGGAUCCAGAGGCAGCUACCAAGCCAGGAAAGGAUUUGGAGCACAUCUCAGAUGAGGAAGGGCUGAGGGGUCUGGGGCUUUCUACAACUACUUGAAGCUGCAGCGAGGUGGGGGUCAAUCUGUUCUCCCUGGUAACAAGCAACAGAACAAGAGGAAACAGCCUCAAGUUGUGCUAGGGGAGAUUCAGGCUGGAUGUGAGGAGGAAUUUCUUUGCUGACAGGGUUGUCAGGCCCUGGAGGGGUUUCAGAGUCAGGUGGGUGUUGCACUGAGGGAAAUGGACUGGUGGGUGAUGGGGCUGGGACAGAGGCUGCACUCCAAGAGCUGAAAGGUCUCUCCCAGCUGAAAUGAUCCUGUGAUCCUGUGAUGCCUGUGAAGUGAUGUGGCUGUGUUGGGCUGUGUGGGGCUCUGCAGGGAAGGCCACGUCCAGCCGUGACUGUGGCAGCUGGAGGCAGGGCCUGGCUGCCCCCCACAGAGUCACAGAAUGAUGGGGCUUGUCAGGAACCUUUAGAGAUCUUUCAGCCCAACCCCCUGCUAAAGCAGGUUCUGCUUGGUCAGGGGCACAGGAACGUGUGCAGGUGGGUUUGGAAACCUGCCGAGAAGGAGCCUCCACACCCUCCCUGGGCAGCCUGGGCCAGGGCUCCCUCACAUUAACAGGGAAAUAUGUUCCUUGUGUUUACAUGGAAGCUCCUCCUAAAGCCCACAGGGGAUACUUGCAGCAGCUUUUCACAGAAGGCAGUGUUUGCCCAUGGGAUAGAAAGCAGGGGAAUCUGGGGCACUUGUGGCAGGUUCUGUCCCUUCCCUGCCCCUCUGGCCAUGUGGCAGGAUGGAGCUCAACCCAGACGGCACUGUUGGGAAGCUGGAGCACGGCCUGGGCAGCAGCUUCCUUGAGGAGCAGCUCUUGACGAAGAACUCCUACCCCUGGAGUGCCCCAACCAGCUGGCCCAGACCUCAGUCUCGCCACUGCUGGGGCUUUUGCUGUGUGUUUAUUUCCCUUCCAGGCUUCACUCCCCUGCUGUGUCUGCCUUUUCCUCCCUGCCCUCUUUUCCGCCUGGUUCUGUGUUCUUCCAUCCCCUCUGUGGGUUCAAGUCUGUUUCUGGUUUUAAUAAAGAUGUAUUUUGUA